UACGUAGGGGGCAAGCGUUGUCCGGAUUUAUUGGGCGUAAGGCGCGUGUAGGUGGCCAAGUAGGUCCGCUGUGAAAACUUGAGGCUCAACCUCAAGCUGUCGGUGGAAACCCCUUGGCUAGAGUCCGGAAGAGGAGAGUGGAAUUCCUGGUGUAGCGGUGAAAUGCGCAGAUAUCAGGAAGAACACCAAUGGCGAAGGCAGCUCUCUGGGACGGUACUGACACUGAGACGCGAAAGCGUGGGGAGCGAACAGG
rnacentral:rRNA from 1 species